GUGCUCGCUUUGGCAGCACAUAUACCAAAAAAAAUUGGAACGAUACACAGAAGAUUAGCAUGGCCCCUGCACAAGGACGACAUGCAAAUUUGUGAAGCGUUCCAUAUAUGU
ensembl:snRNA U6 U6 spliceosomal RNA